rnacentral:misc_RNA from 1 species
GAAAUGCGAUACGUAAUGCGAAUUGCAGAAUUCAGUGAAUCAUCAAAUCUUUGAACGCAAAUUGCGCUCUUGGGUAGCCCUAGGAGCACGCCUCUCUCAGUAUCGGUUCAACAACCUCUCAGCAGCGUAUAGAAUUUAUUCUAUAUGUGUUAGCUGGAUAAUGAGAGUCUAAUCCUCACAGAUUAGUCUCUUUAAAUACAUUGAGUGAGCAUCACAUUUUUAUACUUUCUUUAAUGAAAAGCUGGUCUCUGACUGGUUGUAUAUGAGUGACGUGAAUACUGAGCCUUGUGCUCUAUCGUUUACGUGUAACUUAUAUAUGGCUAUUAAAGGUCUAGGAUUGGUGUAUAAAAAUAAUGUUCAUGUAAAGCUG